GUUGAUAUGAUUGAUGUGGUGGUCCUGCAUGAGAGGGCUGUGAAUGCUGUGAUGGAGAUACCUGAUAUUGUAGAUUUGGAGGAUCUUGUGUUUGACUAGGCGGUGAAUAGUAAGGAUCUCUCUGAGGGACAGAGGGAAUCUGACUCUGAACUGGCUUGGAAGUGGAGCAGGAGGUGACAAAUUUUGUUGGAAAAUAGGUGGUGGAGGGACAGCAGGAGGAG
rnacentral:misc_RNA from 1 species